CAACUGCUGAGCCACGCCAGGCAGGCCCAGAUUUUUAACUUUUGAAAUGGAAAUCCGGCAUCAUGAAUCUCAACCAGACAAAUGAGCACAGUUCUUAAGACUUUUUUACUUGAUUUGCAGCAAUUUUGCUUUUGCCAGUUUUUGUCAUUUGUCCUUGAAUACCCAUGAGGCUGCAGCCUAGGACAUGUUCUUCGGACUCGCCACAGCGAUCUUUCUGCAGUAGGCAUUUGGGCAUCGUGCUGUGAGCUAUGGUUGCCAUCGAGAUGGUAAUGACUGUCCCUUUCCUCAGAGAGCCCGUAGUCCUAGCAAGAGGAAGCUGUGUGUGAAGGACCAAAUGCCUCGGGAACCACCUCAGUGCGUGAAAGGAGCAGGCCUGGUGAGCUGCUGAGGAAGGAGCAGAGACUGGGAUGAACAGG